AGUAAUGCUAGGCGGCCAUGAGAUCAGAGAAUCUGUAGCAUAAUAUAUCAGAAAUAGGGAAACAACGAUGGCAAGAAAUUAGAAUAACCACCUUGGCAGCAUUCUGAAAUAGCCAUAUUCAAUAAAGAAAACAAAAGAAAUAGAAUUAACAAGUCCCUGGUUAGUGCAUAACAUACCUUCUGAAUACCUUCAAGUGUUAUUAGUAACCUCAUCAGAGGAAUGUAAAUCUUGUGUUUGUUUGUUUGUCUUCAUUCACAUCUCUGAAACAGAAAAGAGUGAAACAGCGGAGUACUCAAUUUAUAAAGCAGUCAUGUAGAAGUAGAUGAAACAAAAUCCAGUGCUUAAAUCGACUUUUAAUUGGUGCAUCAAAACCAUAUUUUGGAGUAAAUCAAAAGAAACCUUCAUCUAUAAAAGUACGAAUGAAACCUGAAGCAACAAAUCUCUGUUUCAUUCCCUAUGAAGCCUUUAUUUUAUGCACAUCCCUCUAACCACUUUGAACGUUUUCUUAUUGUACAUUCAAGUAGAAAAUUUGAGCUAAUCUUAUGCUCUUUUUAGCCCUCAAUGUGUAUUGUCAACCACUUAUCCAUGCAUAUACCUGAUAGACUUUGAAGAGGAGCCUUCGCGUAACUGGUAUAGUUGGAGCUCACGGGUUCAAGCUGUGAAACAGCCUCUUGCAGAAAUGCAGGGUAAGACUGCAUACAGUAGACCCUUGUAGUCUGGCUGUUCCCGGACCCCGCAAUGUGCGGGAGCUUAGUGCACCGGGCUACCCUUUUUUAUACCUGAUAUACUUUGUGCAGUUGGAAGUUUUUAUAUACAUAUCAAAAUGUGAAAACAGCUCUACAUGGUAAGUGGAGGUAUAGUUUUAUGAUGAGUAUAGUU
rnacentral:lncRNA from 1 species